CUUAGGGUCCCCAGGAUGACAGCCUUUUAGAGUGCCUCACUUACAGAGCUGCUGUUAGCUGGUGUGAAGUGGACCCCAUUAGCACCUGAAAAAACAGCCUUGGAAAGGGAGUGCCAUUCAUGGAUGGAUGCUGUGAAGGUGCUGCUGUGUUAAUCAUAGUGUUUAAAGUGGAAGACUGCAUCUUGCAUAAGUGAAUGAAUUUGCAGGCAUAUCCACGGCCUUAUAUAAACACAGUCCCAGGUUAAUCAGGAAGAUGGGAGGUGGGAGAAAUGCUGCAAAGAGCCUCUGGCUUCAUCACAGACCUUGAGCCUGCAGGGAACAGUCUGCAACAAGAAGCCUUUGACUGGACACCAACUGAUGCUUUGGUUUGUGAGGGAUUCCAUAAAAGGUCAUAUCUUUCUGCACCGAUCCUCCACUUGCCUCAGGUGGGAAUGCGCUGGAGCCUAUGUGAGCUCCUUGCACCAUCACACUAAUCUGUAGUGUUUGCACUGGUGAAAUGAGACCUGGGGCCAUGCUGACCUAGACCUCCUUUGCCAAAGAGAAGGUGCCUGAAGUUCAAGAGGGAGGCAGACCGGGAAGAAGUCCAACU